AGAAGGGCUCUCGAGCAGGUUAUGACUCUCCAAGUUGCUCAGGUUGGCUCUGAGUUCUUGAUCGUCCUGCCUCAGCCUCCCAAGCUGCUGGGAUCAUAGGUGUGCACCAUAUUCUUGCAACCCUGGAAUAAAACCACCUUGUUCAUGGUGUGCAGUCUUCUUAAUGUGUUCAACACAGCUUGCUGAUACUAAGGUUUCUUUGCAUGUAUGGUCAUCAGAAAUAUUGGUCUGUAGUUUUACUCUUUCUUUCUCUCUCUCUCUCUCUCUCUCUCUCUUUCCUGGGGAUUGAACCCAAGAGCAAUUUACCAUAUCCCCCAGCUCUGUUUAUUUAUUUAAAUAUUUAUUUUUUAGUUGUAGUUGAACACGAUAUCUUUUUUAUUCAUUUAUUUAUUUAUUUCUGUGUGGUGCUGAGGAUCGAACUGGGCCGCCCACAUGCUGGGCGAAUGCUCUACUGCUGAGCCACAACCUCAGCCCUAUUUAUUUAUUUUUUUGAGACAGGUUCUCACUAAGUUAUUUGGGGCCUUACUGAAUUAUCAAAGCUGGCCUUAAACUUGGGAUCCUCUUGUUUCAGCCUCCCUAGCCACUGGGAUUACAGGCAUGACCCACUGCGCUCAGCUAAUCUGUAGUUUUCUUUCCUUGAUGUGUCCUUAUGUGGUUCUGGUAUGAGUGUGAUACUG
rnacentral:lncRNA from 1 species